rnacentral:tRNA from 1 species
GCGGCUGUGGUGGAAUUGGUAGACACGCAGCAUUGAGGGUGCUGUGGCCGAGUAGGCCUUGGAAGUUCAAGUCUUCUCAGCCGCACCA